CCGCUCAUGUCAAGCCCAGCCUGCAAAGAGGGCAGGUCCUCCCUGAAGGAAAGUGGCAGAGAGGAAUGUGUGUGUCAGGUAACUUCUGCACAAUGUAAUCUAGUUUCCCUGUUACUGCUUGACCCAUCAUUUUGGGAGAAUUUGUACACACUUCCCACUUGAGCGUAUCUCUCCCCCAGUAAGAAGACAAACACAGGAAGAAACUGAGUUACAGCAGCCUGUUUUUACAGCAGGUCGUUUUCUGAGUUGGGCAUCACACCUCCGAUGCCAUCACAUUAUAACCCACACCACGAGGUUUCCCAAGUCAUCAAGCGCCUUCCAUCCAGGCUGCUUUGGAAAAACCACGCUGCUGGAGAAGUCCUGUCUUAGUGACUGAGGAAGACCUUUGCCCUGAGACCUCAGGAUAACGACUGACACUUGAACCCUCACGGACAACUGCUCGAUCUCACAAGAUGCCGAAAGCCCAUGAGAAAGCAAAACCCCAAAUGACGUCAAUGGUGACAAGGCUCCCUAACUUGGAUUAAUCUCUGGAGUAUCUUGAAAUUUCCUGAAGUUGCCCUCCCAUGAAAUGGACCAUAGGAUUAAAGAGGCCAACAGAAAAGAUAUUUCCAGUCUGGGUUUUAAUGCUUCCAGUGAUGAAAUGGAGUCAGAUUAUGUACGUCUCAGCUAUAGGAGGGAUAACCGAAAGCACACGUGACUGGCAAAUCAAGUGUUCCUAUGAAAUCAGAGCAAAGGCUGAUGAAUGAAAUGUUUGUAUGAUUCUUGCUUAACCUGUUCUCUUUCUGGAUUCUCAGGAAAGACCUUGAACCCGAAUCAGACAUUUCAAAAGGUAUGCUAAGAGACUGCAGGGUAACGAUUCCCUCUACAUCUUUCCUAGUUUCCCUGAACAAUAACAAUGAGGACGACAGUAAGAAUAGCCACCAUGUCCCAAACGUGGCGACCCAAGGGUAAAGGAUCCAGUUGGGAUGGUAAUUAAUUUAGCAAAGGCUUCAUGCUCUCUCCAAAAAAACCUGGCUGAACCUAAAAUAAACUGACAAAGACUUUCCUGAAUUAACUUGAGGUGCUAAUUAUACCAUUUGAUUUUAUCCACAUUACAUGAUCCAAAAGAAAUGAUUGCUUAUACUAAAUACGUCUAUAAAGAAAAGUGCAUUGGGGGUGGGAGAGGGAAAGGAAAGAUAAGCCCAAGAGUACGAAAGCCCGAGGAGCAAAAGACCGCGGAAACUUUGCCUUUAUAGAUUGGUACCUUCAAGGUCACUGUUUGGAACUGUGACGUUUUACAGGAAUUUUUGUGUUUAUGGAAAGGCUUAAGUUUGGGAUCCCCAAGUCUGCUGUUUGCUCCAACAACCUGCUGUGAAAUGAAGGCAACUCAUGUUUUCUUGGCGAAGAGGAGCUAUUAAAUGCAGGUGACCCCGAGGCUCCUGAAAUGUCUAAGGCAUGCUGAAGGUCACUGGCCACAUUAGAAAUGAUUUUAAUUUUCACUUGAUGUGUUUCAAAAAUAAAUAUGAAGAAAAAGUUCAGACCUUUGACCAGAGUACGAUUUUCUAAGGAAUGUUUGCACUACAGCAGAUUUAAGUGUACAAGGAGGAGGGUAGAAGGGAUUCUUGCAGCUCCUGGACUCAGUGUGCCUGCUAAGAGUACAGACAACAGAAGGUCAGGAAAAUCUUACUGCCUGGUAGCCAGCUGUGAAGGUGCCCUCUCUGUCCAGCCUCAUAGCCAUCACCACGCCACAUUAUGGACGCCUGAUCUUUAGACCUAGAGGUGGCAAAGGGUGCGCGAAGACUUAAAUAGGGAGCCACGCAGCUGAGGGCUGGAAGGGAGCAGCCUCAGUUAAGACACUAUGUUCCUAAAUUGCCUGCCUUUGGCUGACAGAUGCUAGCAGUUGGCUGGUGUGCAAGUCUGUAACUUGCAAAGCAGGGCUGGAAAGAUGGUUUUGCUUGCCAAGGCCAAUGCAAGUAGGAAGCUAACAGACAGAGCUAAGAGAUUUGAUGCAUUUUGUUGAUUGAUUGAUUUUAAUUCUCUGCCUACUUUGGGACACGAACCUCAACCCGGGCCCAGGAAGAAUUGUUUGAUUAUUUUCAUUAGGUCCAUCCAUCUGAAUAGUGUAGGUCUGGGUUAUGGAGUAAAAAUCUUAA